GCGGACCUGAACUGGGGCCCAAGUGCCGAGGAGGCAGGGAACAGCGGAGGUGCUGGUGGCUUCUACGGAGUGAGCAGCCAGUACGAGAGCCGAGAGCUCAUGACACUGACCUGCUCCUCCAAGGUCUGCUCCUUUGGCAAGCAAGUGGUGGAGAAGGUGGAGGUGAGGCCCAGGGGCAGGGGGUACUGCAUGCAUCAAGAGGAAGCAGUCACAAGCACGAGGGUGUGUGUGAGGCAGGGCCAUCCCAGCCUCUCUGGCACUAGGAAUAUAGUAUAUGCACUAGGAAUUAAGACUUCAAAGGCUGAGGCUAGAGUUCAUAUUGUGGAGUGCUUGCCCUGCACCAUGGAAACCAAGCACCAAAAGUUUCAAGUCGAUCCUCAGUUACAUAAGAAGUUCCAGGCUGGCUUGGGCUACAUGAGACCCUGUCUCAAACCAAACAUAAAGAAACAACUAAGUCACGAGUAGGGCUUAUUUCAAGGUAUGGAGAUUGAAUCUGCAAGUUGGAAAAGGCUCUGGUAUGGUGGGAGUUGUAGAAUUAGGAAGUAGAGAUGUUUACUUGAGGGUCUGUGAGGUCUUGAAGCUCAGUGUGGAGAUGCUAUUGAGGGUGUAUGGAGGUCACCGGGAUUUUCAGACCAUGACAGAGGAGAAGGAGGGUGCCUUGUUUGCAGGUUCAGAGGCCCAGGGACUCUGGUCCUUAAAGUCGAGGUGGUUGGGGCACUGUGGCUGAGGGAGUUGACCGUGGCCUCUCAGAGGCUAAGGGUGAAGCUUCGGUCCUAUGGUGGCCGAGGUCUCUCUCAGCCACUGUGUUUCCCACUCCCAGACAGAGCGGGCCCAGCUGGAGGGCGGGCGCUUUGUGUACCGCCUGCUGCGCUCUCCCAUGUGUGAGUACCUGGUCAACUUCCUGCACAAGCUCCGUCAGCUGCCUGAGCGCUACAUGAUGAACAGCGUCCUGGAGAACUUCACCAUCCUCCAGGUUGUGACAAAUAGGGACACUCAGGAACUGCUGCUGUGUACUGCCUACGUCUUUGAAGUCUCCACCAGUGAACGCGGAGCCCAGCACCACAUCUACCGCCUGGUCAGGGACUGAUGGGGCCCCAUUGCUGCUGUUUAUCCGAACACCCCCUUCCUAGGAAGGGCCCUUCUGCUCUC
rnacentral:lncRNA from 1 species